UCCGGGUUUCGCCCGGCAGUCUCCCUAGAACAUUCAACUAAGGACACACUAUCUCUAGUGCUUUUCCCCACAUGUCAAGCCCAGGUAAGGUUCUUCGCGUAGCAUCGAAUUAAGCAACACGCUCCGCUGCUUGUGCGGGCCCCCGUCAAUUCCUUUGAGUUUUAACCUUGCGGCCGUACUCCCCAGGCGGGGCACUUAAUGCGUUAGCGACGGCGCGGAUUCCGUUGGUUGGAACCCACACCUAGUGCCCAACGUUUACGGCAUGGACUAC
rnacentral:misc_RNA from 1 species